rnacentral:lncRNA from 1 species
GGAUUUUUUUCCUUGAGUGGACUAAAGCGUCGGAUUUUUAAUCCGUUGUACGAGAUAUUUGUACCAUGGGUUCGAAUCCCUCUCUUUCUGGUUCCGUUGAUGACUUGAUUUAUUUAUUCAUUUUUCAAAUUUUUGAAAUCUUAGUUAAACAUGUGGAAUAGAUAAAAUCCUAAGAAAAUUUGAAAAUUAACCAAGGAAAAACCCUUUGGAUUUUAUUUUUCACGUCCAAGAUUACGUCCUGGAUCGUUAGAUAGGAAUCCAAAGAUGAAGAGAGGAUAU